AGAUGCGGAAGAGAUGGCGUUUCUGACCAGAAGAUUUCGUGCUUGGGCGAGAGUAGUACUAGGAUGGGUGACCUCCUGGGAAGUCCUUGUGUUGCACCUC
rnacentral:rRNA from 1 species